CUGCAAACUUACCAGUGGCAUGAUCCCAUUCCUUCACACUCAGAUAUUUAAAAUGUCUGAAGAAGUUCAAGAGAUUACUUAGACGAACUCCUCAUGGCAUAGAUGGCGAACAUGAGGUUUUAAGAGGUUUUGAGAGGCACUAAAUUCCUUGCCCAAGAUAAUGGAGCUUAUUGUGGCAGAUGAUUCUAGAACUCUCAGCUGCUGAGAGAGUAACUAUUAGUCCUGAGGGCAUGCCAUAACUUAAUGCCUGAGGCUAACACACCACCAACAGUAUUACAAGCAUCCAUUUCCCCCUUUUUCCAACCAAAAGGACCUCAUUUUCCAUAGAACUUACUCAUCCCAAGUACAAAGCAGCAAAGUGGUUUAAGAGAAUAGAUCCCACCAGCUGGUUAAGUCUACCAGAAGAUCUUGCACCUGACCACAGUGAUUGGGUCAGGGAUGGGCAUGUUAUCACAUUGUGACCAAUAAAAUUUGAGAGACUUACUAAGGGCUCCUAUGAGCGAAGUUUCCUUGCUCUUCUGUGGGAGCUUCAAGGACUGGACCUGGACAGUGUAGAAGAAUGUGAGGCCCGUUAAUGCUACCAUGAGGGGAUCUAGCAUGCAAAUGAGUCCAGCACCUGGAGGAGGACAGCGCUGCAAGAAUCAAAAUGGACAGGGUGUCCCGUUGGCAUCAUUAACCUAUGAAUCAAGACUCCCCAAAAGCCUAAACUUAGAACAGUCUUUUGACAAUUUAGUCACUUGAAUCUUUAUAUACCUUCACCGUUUUUUUUAAUCCAUGUUGGUUCAGGUUUUCUAUUAUUUGCAACCAAAAGUCUCCCAGCCAAUGUAGGGAGGUAAUUUGGAACACUGGAGGAAGUAUUGUGUUGAGGAGGUCUGAGCUCUGGUUUAGUUCUACCAUCGAAUAUUUGUGUGAUCUUAAGCCGGUUCUCCAACCAAAUCCUUUAAUCAGUUUAUCCACAUGUAAAACAAGAGCAUUAGUUCUAGAGGAUUUCUAAAACAUAGCACAGACAGGCUAGAUGUCCACCUCUUGGAUACAAGGAAUAAUCCACUAGUACUAAAAUUGGAUCCUUCCAAUUCCCUUGUUUCCAUCCAAGAUCCUGCUCCCAUUAAAACUUGAGCUAAUUGUGCAUAACUCCAUUCCUGUGUCUGCCAACCCAAAUCCACAGGGAAAACCACCUCACCUCCUCCUAUUUGUUUUAGAAGUGAUGUCAUUACACUGUAAACUCAAGUGCAAGAGCUUUGCAUAAUCAACGAUCAUCACAGUGUUAGCAUUCUGCUCCACCAACAUUUGUAGAACUGAUAAUGGUCAGAAAACAAGGUUCUUCAUCUAGUAGUGUCCUCCUGAUACCCAAUUAUCUUGGCACCUAAAGCAGCAAAAGAUACUAACCACAAUGGGACUAAGAAGCCUAGCUAUGCAAAGAGAGAUACUAUUCUCAGCAGGUGUGGCAAUAAAUACCACUGCAUACUUUUCUUUCUGCUUUCCUAUGGUGGUUAGUGAGAUAUAUAUGUGUAUAUAUAUAUAUAUAUAUAUAUAUAUAUAUAUAUAUAUAUAGUUUACUGUUCUUGUGGAGACUACAUAUGUAUGCUAUAUAAGAAACUGUCUUAUUCAUUUGAUACUCUGUAUCAGAUAAUUUUUCUAUUUUUUUGGCAUGUCAAACUUUCAUUAAAGUUUUUUGUUUGUUUUUUAAUUUUUUCUGAGGAAGAUUUGCC
rnacentral:lncRNA from 1 species